GUGGGGAAUAUUGGACAAUGGGCGAAAGCCUGAUCCAGCAAUGCCGCGUGAGUGAUGAAGGCCUUAGGGUUGUAAAGCUCUUUUACCAGGGAUGAUAAUGACAGUACCUGGAGAAUAAGCUCCGGCUAACUCCGUGCCAGCAGCCGCGGUAAUACGGAGGGAGCUAGCGUUGUUCGGAAUUACUGGGCGUAAAGCGCGCGUAGGCGGUUUAUCAAGUCAGGGGUGAAAUCCCGGGGCUCAACCCCGGAACUGCCCUUGAAACUGGUUCACUAGAAUCCUGGAGAGGCGAGUGGAAUUCCGAGUGUAGAGGUGAAAUUCGUAGAUAUUCGGAAGAACACCAGUGGCGAAGGCGACUCGCUGGACAGGUAUUGACGCUGAGGUGCGAAAGCGUGGGGAGCAAACAGGAUUAGAAACCCUUGUAGUCC
rnacentral:rRNA from 1 species